GAGGCUGCGGCGCGUCCAUGCGGCCCCGGCUCCGGACCGCAGACCCGCAGCGAGCGCGGGCCGGCGCGGGAUGGGGAAGCUACAGUCCAAGCUCGCCUGCAAGCGGAGGGGGAGCCCGGAAGGGGACAGCUCCGGGGGGUCCGCGUUCGCCGGCGGCCGCAACGGCGCGGAGGAGGCGGGGCGGCGCGCUGCG